rnacentral:rRNA from 1 species
UACGUAGGGUGCAAGCGUUGUCCGGAAUUAUUGGGCGUAAAGAGCUCGUAGGCGGUCUGUCGCGUCUGCUGUGAAAACUCGGGGCUUAACCCCGGGCCUGCAGUGGGUACGGGCAGACUAGAGUGCGGUAGGGGAGACUGGAAUUCCUGGUGUAGCGGUGAAAUGCGCAGAUAUCAGGAGGAACACCGAUGGCGAAGGCAGGUCUCUGGGCCGUAACUGACGCUGAGGAGCGAAAGCAUGGGUAGCGAACAGG